rnacentral:rRNA from 1 species
UAAAUUAGUGUGAGGGGUUAAAUUUAUAAUGUAAUUUAAGUUGAAGGGUAAACGUUUAAAUGGGUAUUUUACCUUUAGUAUAAGGGGGGCAGGAUGAUGUCUUUAGAGGGCAACCCCAAACCGCAAGGUAUUUUUUCUUAUUUCUGCAGAUAUGUAGUAGUUAUGAAAGGGGGUAGUGAAAUUCUAUCGGUUGCGGUAUAAGUGGCAGGUGUAGUGGAGGUAAGAUUCACUAGUCCACCGUAGGGACCAUUGGUUAUUGGUAUGCUUUAAAAUGUUAUAAUGUUAUUAUUGUAUACAGUGUUAUUUAAUAUUUGGAAAUGCGGUGGUGUUUACAAAUUAAUUAUUAUGUAAAUAGAAUCUGUUCAUGAGUAAGAUAUUGUUUAGGGGUGUCGAUUGUAAGCAUUUUUAUUGUAUUUGAACCCUUUGACAAAUGUUUAUUAAAAACAUUUCUACAAGCUUUUGUAGUAAGCCCUGCCCACUGAUGUUUGAAGGGCCGUAGUAAGUUGACUAUGCUAAGGUAGCAUAAUAAUUAGGUUGUUAAUUGCAAUCUGGUAUGAAGGGGAUUUUGAUUGGAGGGUUGUGAUGAGGAUGCAUGGAAAUUAUUGAAAAGUGAAAAUGCUUUUGAAUAAACAAAAGACGGAAAGACCCCGGAAGCUUUAUAAAUUAGUUAUUUUGUUGGGGCAAUAGGUGAAAGUUUAAAUUUCAUUGUGAGAGUUACUCCGGGGAUAACAGGGUAAUCAAUCCAUUGGGUUUGUUUACUACCUCGAUGUUGGAUCAUCCACUAGUUAGUCUGUUCGACUUUUGAUGGGUACGUGAUCUGAGUUUAGAUCGGCGUGAGCCAGAUCGGUUCUUAUCUUUUUAUAGCUUUUUGUAGUACGAGAGGGGGCAAAGGGGCUAAU